rnacentral:rRNA from 1 species
GUUUGAUCAUGGCUCAGGAUGAACGCUGGCGGCAUGCCUAAUACAUGCAAGUCGAACGGAGUGAAGCCUUCGGGUUUCAUUCAGUGGCGAACGGGUGAGUAAUACGCAGGGAACCUGGCCAUGGCAGGGGGAUACACUCUGGAAACGGAGCAUAAGACCCCAUAGGCAGUAAGGCGGCAUCGCCUUACUGUUAAAGAAAGCUGAAAGGCUUUGGCGAUGGAUGGACCUGCGGUGCAUUAGCUUGUUGGUGAGGCAACGGCUUACCAAGGCGAUGAUGCAUAGCCGGCCUGAGAGGGCGGACGGCCACACUGGGACUGAGACACGGCCCAGACUCCUGCGGGAGGCAGCAGUAGGGAAUUUUCGUCAAUGGGCGCAAGCCUGAACGAGCAAUGCCGCGUGAGUGAGGAAGGUCUUCGGACUGUAAAGCUCUGUUGCCGGGGAAAAAGGGGAAAUGCAGGAAAUGGCAUUUCAUGGAUGGUACCCGGCCAGAAAGCCACGGCUAACUACGUGCCAGCAGCCGCGGUAAUACGUAGGUGGCGAGCGUUAUCCGGAAUGAUUGGGCGUAAAGGGUGCGCAGGCGGUCUGUUAAGUCUGAAGGCAAAGGGAUGAGCUCAACUCAUUUAUGAUUCAGAAACUGGCAGACUUGAGGACAGGAGAGGGCGGUGGAACUCCAUGUGUAGCGGUAAAAUGCGCAGAGAUAUGGAAGAACACCAGUGGCGAAGGCGGCCGCCUGGCCUGUGACUGACGCUGAGGCACGAAAGCGUGGGGAGCAAAUAGGAUUAGAUACCCUAGUAGUCCACGCCGUAAACGAUGAGGAGCAGGUGUUGGGAGUGAAAUCUCAGUGCCGAAGCCAACGCAGUGACUCCUCCGCCUGGGGAGUAUGCACGCAAGUGUGAAACUCAAAGGAAUUGACGGGGGCCCGCACAAGCGGUGGAGUAUGUGGUUUAAUUCGAAGCAACGCGAAGAACCUUACCAGGUUUUGACAUCGGAUGCGAAGGCGCAGAGAUGCGCUGGAGGCUAUCAUCCAGACAGGUGGUGCAUGGUUGUCGUCAGCUCGUGUCGUGAGAUGUUCAGUUAAGUCUGGCAACGAGCGCAACCCCCGUGGUAUGUUACUAACGCAUUUGGGCGAGGACUCAUAUCAGACUGCCGGUGACAAACCGGAGGAAGGCGGGGAUGACGUCAAAUCAUCAUGCCCCUUAUGACCUGGGCUACACACGUACUACAAUGGCGUCUACAGAGGGAAGCGACCCUGAGAAGGGAAGCGAAACCGGAAAAGGGCGUCCCAGUUCGGAUUGAAGUCUGCAACCCGACUUCAUGAAGAUGGAAUCGCUAGUAAUCGCGGAUCAGCAUGCCGCGGUGAAUACGUUCCCGGGCCUUGUACACACCGCCCGUCAAACCAUGGAAGCCGGCAACGCCCGAAGCCGGUGGCAUAACCUUUUAGGAGUGAGCCGUCGAAGGCGGGGCCGAUGACUGGGGUUAAGUCGUAACAAGGUACCC